CGCGCCUGUAGCUCAGCUGGAUAGAGUACCUGGCUUCGAACCAGGUGGUCGGGGGUCCGAGUACCUCCAGGCCGGCCA
rnacentral:tRNA from 1 species